rnacentral:rRNA from 1 species
CAAGGGUAUGGCUGUUCGCCAUUUAAAGUGGUACGCGAGCUGGGUUUAGAACGUCGUGAGACAGUUCGGUCCCUAUCUACCGUGGGCGUUUGAGACUUGAAGGAAGCUGCUCCUAGUACGAGAGGACCGGAGUGGACGUACCUCUGGUGUUCCGGUUGUCACGCCAGUGGCAUUGCCGGGUAGCUAUGUACGGACAGGAUAACCGCUGAAAGCAUCUAAGCGGGAAGCCUCUCCUAAGAUGAGGUCUCACUGGGAAUUUGAUUCCCCUGAAGGGUCCUGGAAGACUACCAGGUUGAUAGGCUGGGUGUAGAAGUGCAGUAAUGCAUGAAGCUAACCAGUACUAAUUGCCCGUGCGACUUGACCAU